rnacentral:rRNA from 1 species
AUUGAACGCUGGCGGCAGGCCUAACACAUGCAAGUCGAACGGUAACAGAAAGCAGCUUGCUGCUUUGCUGACGAGUGGCGGACGGGUGAGUAAUGUCUGGGAAACUGCCUGAUGGAGGGGGAUAACUACUGGAAACGGUAGCUAAUACCGCAUAACGUCGCAAGACCAAAGAGGGGGACCUUCGGGCCUCUUGCCAUCGGAUGUGCCCAGAUGGGAUUAGCUAGUAGGUGGGGUAAAGGCUCACCUAGGCGACGAUCCCUAGCUGGUCUGAGAGGAUGACCAGCCACACUGGAACUGAGACACGGUCCAGACUCCUACGGGAGGCAGCAGUGGGGAAUAUUGCACAAAGGGCGCAAGCCUGAUGCAGCCAUGCCGCGUGUAUGAAGAAGGCCUUCGGGUUGUAGAGUACUUUCAGCGGGGAGGAAGGGAGUAAAGUUAAUACCUUUGCUCAUUGACGUUACCCGCAGAAGAAGCACCGGCUAACUCCGUG